rnacentral:lncRNA from 1 species
GAGAGUAAACAGGCUUGUGUAUAAUUCUAUUAUAAAAUGACAGGACUAUUUUUUAGGGCUCAAGCGAGAGUUACAAUCUAAAUAAGAUUGUGCUGAUUUACAAGACAAACAAGUUGCAGAUUUGUUUAGAACAACUCCACAAUUACAUGAUAAGAGCAUAUAUAAACUCUAAGAAACGCUCUCGACAAAUCGACAAUACCUAGUGAAACUAGUUUUUACAGUACAGAAAGGAACAGGAUUCAGGAAGUAGCUUCACUUUCGGCUAAACUUGCUGAUCAGCCUCUCGAUCCAUCUCAUGAAGUUCAGGGUCGGCGGGAGUCGCAGUAAUAAAUAUGCUAAGAUGAGGAAUUGUCGGCAGCAGAAGUUCAACAGCCAUCAUAAAACUUCUCCAAAUGUUAGAUAUACAAGCAAAACAUAAGGAAAAUAGCAAAAUUAAGGGAUAAACGUACCAAAAGAGAAGCUGUG